rnacentral:rRNA from 1 species
GAUGAACGCUGGCGGCGUGCCUAAUACAUGCAAGUCGAGCGAACGGACGAGAAGCUUGCUUCUCUGAUGUUAGCGGCGGACGGGUGAGUAACACGUGGAUAACCUACCUAUAAGACUGGGAUAACUUCGGGAAACCGGAGCUAAUACCGGAUGAUAUUUUGAACCGCAUGGUUCAAAAGUGAAAGACGGUCUUGCUGUCACUUAUAGAUGGAUCCGCGCUGCAUUAGCUAGUUGGUAAGGUAACGGCUUACCAAGGCAACGAUGCAUAGCCGACCUGAGAGGGUGAUCGGCCACACUGGAACGGAGACACGGUCCAGCCUCCUACGGGAGGCAGCAGUAGGGAAUCUUCCGCAAUGGGCGAAAGCCUGACGGAGCAACGCCGCGUGAGUGAUGAAGGUCUUCGGAUCGUAAACUCUGUUAUUAGGGAAGAACAUAUGUGUAAGUAACUGUGCACAUCUUGACGGUACCUAAUCAGAAAGCCACGGCUAACUACGUG